rnacentral:rRNA from 1 species
UACGUAGGGUCCGAGCGUUGUCCGGAGUUACUGGGCGUAAAGCGCGCGCAGGCGGCGGUGCUGGCCCGGCGUGAAAGCCCCCGGCUCAACCGGGGAGGGUCGUCGGGGACCGCACCGCUUGAGGGCGGUAGGGGCUGGUGGAAUGCCUGGUGUAGUGGUGAAAUGCGUAGAGAUCAGGCGGAACACCCGUGGCGAAGGCGGCCAGCUGGGCCGUCCCUGACGCUGAGGAGCGAAAGCGUGGGGAGCGAACAGG